AGAGUUUGAUUAUGGCUCAGAUUGAACGCUGGCGGCAGGCCUAACACAUGCAAGUCGAACGGUAACAGAAAGCAGCUUGCUGCUUUGCUGACGAGUGGCGGACGGGUGAGUAAUGUCUGGGAAACUGCCUGAUGGAGGGGGAUAACUACUGGAAACGGUAGCUAAUACCGCAUAACGUCGCAAGACCAAAGAGGGGGACCUUCGGGCCUCUUGCCAUCGGAUGUGCCCAGAUGGGAUUAGCUAGUAGGUGGGGUAACGGCUCACCUAGGCGACGAUCCCUAGCUGGUCUGAGAGGAUGACCAGCCACACUGGAACUGAGACACGGUCCAGACUCCUACGGGAGGCAGCAGUGGGGAAUAUUGCACAAUGGGCGCAAGCCUGAUGCAGCCAUGCCGCGUGUAUGAAGAAGGCCUUCGGGUUGUAAAGUACUUUCAGCGGGGAGGAAGGGAGUAAAGUUAAUACCUUUGCUCAUUGACGUUACCCGCAGAAGAAGCACCGGCUAACUCCGUGCCAGCAGCCGCGGUAAUACGGAGGGUGCAAGCGUUAAUCGGAAUUACUGGGCGUAAAGCGCACGCAGGCGGUUUGUUAAGUCAGAUGUGAAAUCCCCGGGCUCAACCUGGGAACUGCAUCUGAUACUGGCAAGCUUGAGUCUCGUAGAGGGGGGUAGAAUUCCAGGUGUAGCGGUGAAAUGCGUAGAGAUCUGGAGGAAUACCGGUGGCGAAGGCGGCCCCCUGGACGAAGACUGACGCUCAGGUGCGAAAGCGUGGGGAGCAAACAGGAUUAGAUACCCUGGUAGUCCACGCCGUAAACGAUGUCGACUUGGAGGUUGUGCCCUUGAGGCGUGCUCCGGAGCUAACGCGUUAAGUCGACCGCCUGGGGAGUACGGCCGCAAGGUUAAAACUCAAAUGAAUUGACGGGGGCCCGCACAAGCGGUGGAGCAUGUGGUUUAAUUCGAUGCAACGCGAAGAACCUUACCUGGUCUUGACAUCCAUGGAAGUUUUCAGAGAUGAGAAUGUGCCUUCGGGAACCGUGAGACAGGUGCUGCAUGGCUGUCGUCAGCUCGUGUUGUGAAAUGUUGGGUUAAGUUCCGCAACGAGCGCAUCCCUUAUCCUUAGUUGCCAGCGGUCCGGCCGGGAACUCAAAGGAGACUGCCAGUGAUAAACUGGAGGAAGGUGGGGAUGACGUCAAGUCAUCAUGGCCUUUACGACCAGGGCCACACACGUGCUACAAUGGCGCAUACAAAGAGAAGCGACCUCGCGAGAGCAAGCGGACCUCAUAAAGUGCGUCGUAGUCCGGAUUGGAGUCUGCAACUCGACUCCAUGAAGUCGGAAUCGCUAGUAAUCGUGGAUCAGAAUGCCACGGUGAAUACGUUCCCGGGCCUUGUACACACCGCCCGUCACACCAUGGGAGUGGGUUGCAAAAGAAGUAGGUAGCUUAACCUUCGGGAGGGCGCUUACCACUUUGUGAUUCAUGACUGGGGUGAAGUCGUAACAAGGU
rnacentral:rRNA from 1 species